CACUCACGCCUGACGUUAGUGGAACACAUAUUUCGUUCGCAACUUGAAGGUUUGUAUGUAGGGGACUUACAGUAAUUUCAUUGUUUUACAUAUAGUUGUCCAGUUUUAGGGCUGUGGUUUUCUUGGUCUGGUGUCUGCCCCCUGCUGGGCAAGGCUGGUCUAGCGGCCUGAGCAGGCUCCCUGGAGGGUAGGGCAGGUGCCUGCCCACUGGUGGGUGGAGCUGCGCCGUCUGGUGGGCAGGGCCGUGUCCCAGGGGGCUGUGAGCUCAGCAGGUCCCAAGGCAGCCUGUCAGCUGACGGGUGGGGCUCUGUCCCCCAGGGGGCUGUUUGGCCCAAGGCUCCCAGCACUGGGCCUACAGGCUGUUGGGUGGUGCUUGGUUUUGGCGCUCACAGGCCAAGAUGUCAGCCCAGCAGCACAGCAGCUGUGUUCACGGGCCGAAUGUCCCCCAGUGUAUCUGCCACCGGCAUCUGUGUCCCCAGGGUGAGCCUCAACCGCCCCCCACCUCUGCAGGAGACCCUCCAAGAACAGCAGGUAGGUCUGGCCCAGGCUCCCAUCAAAUUACUGCUUCUGCCCUGGGUUCUGGUGCGUGUGAGGUUUUGUGCGGCCCUUGAGGAGUGGGGUCUCUGCUCCCUCGUCCUGUGGGGCCCCUGCAGUCAAGGCCCGCUGUCUUCACAGCCAGAUGCUCUGGGGGCUCCCGGUGCCGGACCCCCGGGCUGGGGAGCCUGACGGGGGGCUCAGAGCUCUCACUCCUCGGGGGGAACCUCUGCAGGGUCAUUAUUCUCCAGUGUGUGGGUUGCCCACCUGGGGCUAAGGGACUCCUGCUGUCUCGUCGUCGUUCCUUCUUUAUGUCUUUAGCUAAGGGACUCCUACUGUCUCGUCGUCGUCGUUCCUUCUUUAUGUCUUUAGCGAUAGAAGAUAUUUUCUGGCAGCGUUUGGUCUUUUCCGUGGAUGGUGGUUCUGCAGGUGGUUGUGAUGUUGGUGUGCUCGUGAGAGGAGGUGAGCUGCUCUCCUGAGAUGACUUGUGAUGAAAUUUUCAAUCAUUUUGGAAUAGGUCCCACGGGGUGGCCAGAGCUGGCUGUCCCCUGUGCAGAGGCCCCCUGGGUGGCACGUAGACCUGAAGGACGGUCCCCUCCCAAGGCCUGCACUCCUCCUACAGCCCAAGCCUCAAGGGGUUGACUGUGGGCAGUAUCCUCUCUGGGCUGUUCCUGCCUCCUGGGAGCACCCACAGAGCACAGACUCCUGCUGAGGGCCAUCACGUGGCAGGUGCCCCAUGGUCUUGGGGCUGCCCCCAGAUCCAGGACGGGGUGACACAGCUUGCCUCAUCUUGGUGGGGCAGGAAGAGGGACGAUGGAGCGCCAGGCCGGCCCAGCAGGGGAGAGCACGAGGACCUGGUGGCGUGGCCACGGCUCAAGGCAGCAGGGAAGCUGGGAAAUGAGCCAGGUGCCCACAGCAAAGGGCGGGCACAGAGCUCAGAGAGACAGCAGGCUGUGCCCAGGAACCAGGCAUGCACCCCAGGCUUUCCAGGAGGGGAGACCUGGGCUCAGCAUCCACCUGGAAGAUGCCAACACGGCAGGUAAGAGUGAGCUAGAGGUGAGGCAGGGCCCCAACUGGGGCCGAGCUGGCAGGAGGCGGCUACCGUGGAGGCUGGGUGACAGCUACCUCGAGGGCCGAGGAAUCAGGAGAACACGAGUGUCCAUCUCCACGACUCCAUGGGUAAGAAGGGGCUACACCACGUGCCCAGAAUUGCUCGUGUCCCAUCUUCCAGGAACGAGGUGAGUUCACGUCGAGGUUCAGUGGGCUGAGCCCCACCCCUGCUGGUGCCUCCUCAGGACCCCGUCUCACUCCAGGUUUGGUGGUUGGUAGUACUGCUCCCACUUAGACCGAUAAGGAUGCUGGGGCUCUGAUGUGCUCUAGCCCAGGUCCCCGGCCCACGUGCAAGACAGCCGCUGCCUCCCCGAGGUGCAGGUGGUGACCACCCAGGUGCAGGGUGCUGAUGGGACUCCGAGAACUAAGCCACUGGCCGGGGGGGUGGGGGGCUGGAGUGCCUGAGGGCAGCUUCCUGGCUCCAGGGCCCCCCCCCCUGCAGAAGUCCCUGCCUGAGGCUGUGCUUCAGACUUUUACCAAAGUGAGAAUUUUUAUGCUAGUAGAGUGCUCCAGGAAUGAAGGCUGCCCCUCGCCCUGGCAAGAGCACUCCUAACUUUGUGACGGCACCCUCACUCCUCCUCACUCUGCCGCAUUGAGGCAGACACUGAAAGCUAUGUAGGAGUUUUCCAGGUGGAGGAGCAAACAUAUGCAUGCCUUUUUUUUUUUUUUUGCAGGUGGGAAGAUUAUUAUAGGAUGGGUUAAAAAAACGUAUAUCUUUAGGUAAGAGCCAGGACUAGGGCGAGGCAAGUGAGGCACUCCCCUCAGGCACACAAGGGUGCACCAAAAAUCAUAGUCAUUAAAAAUAAGCAAUAGUUUAAUGUAAUACUUUACUUUCAAAUCAAAAUUAAUGAUGAACUUUCAAAGCAGGAUUCCUGGUUGUCUUUUGCUCCAGUCCCCCGGGACUCGGCACAGCACGGUCGGUCGGCUUGUGGCCGCUGCCCCGCCGGCAGGCCCUCUUCGCCCUUACACUCCACUUUACAUACAAGCCGUUUUUCUUUUCUGUUUUUGCUUACUCUGUUAACGGUUGAUCUGUUUUUCCCAAUGGGAUCUUGUGAUGGAAUAGAAUGCAUAUAAUAUUUCCUAGUAAAAUGUAUGGAAAUUUUUGA